UACGUAGGGUGCGAGCGUUAAUCGGAAUUACUGGGCGUAAAGCGUGCGCAGGCGGUUUUUCAAGUCUGAUUUGAAAGCCCCAGGCUUAACCUGGGAACUGCAUUUGUGACUGCAAGACUAGAGUGCGGCAGAGGGGGGUAGAAUUCCACGUGUAGCAGUGAAAUGCGUAGAUAUGUGGAGGAAUACCGAUGGCGAAGGCAGCACCCUGGGUCGACACUGACGCUCAUGCACGAAAGCGUGGGGAGCAAACAGG
rnacentral:rRNA from 1 species